CCAAAUGAUAACAAAUUACCAUUUGUGUUUGACAAUCAACGAGCUGUUUAUCAAUUGCGAGCUUGUUGUGUGUUAGAAACAAUCCGCAUUAGUGCUGCUGGCUUUCUUUCUAGAUGGACCUAUGUAGAUUUCUUCUUAAGAUAUCGCGUAUUAUUGAAAUCAAAGAAAAUUAAUAGAAAUGAUCCUAAAUUAACUUGUCAGCAAAUUGUUGAAGAACAUAUUGGAGUAUAUUAUCUAAUAAAGAAAACUAUAAGUUUGGCAAUACAAAAAUAUUCUUCAGAGCUAGUCAAGUUGCAUACUUAGAAAGAAAACGGGCUGAUAUACGUAAUGAUUGCAGCAUAUAUAUUCAAAAAACUUGGCGAAAAUACAUAUGCCAAAAAAAUUACAUACAAA